CAUGGGUCCUCUCGCAAUGCUAGUAGGUGAACCCGGUCAGGUCCGGAAGGAAGCAGCCGCAGCUUAUGACGCAUGUGCCGAGAUGUGGCUGGUGGGG
rnacentral:SRP_RNA from 1 species